UCUUCUUUGAGCAUGACUACUAAUAAACCA
rnacentral:piRNA from 1 species